UGCAGUCGAACGGGGUUGAGCGGGCUUGCUCGAUCAACCUAGUGGCGGACGGCUUGAGAUAACGCGCUAGGUGACCUGCCCGGAAGUGGGGAAUAACUGCCCGAAAGGGUGGCUAAUACCGCAUGUGGUCGGCGAUUCGGUUCGCCGUGCAAAGCCGCAAGGCGCUUCCGGAGGGGCCUGCGUCCGAUUAGCUAGUUGGUGGGGUAAUGGCUCACCAAGGCGACGAUCGGUAGCUGGUCUGAGAGGAUGAUCAGCCAGACUGGGACUGAGAACGGCCCAGACUCCUACGGGAGGCAGCAGUCGGGAAUUUUGCCCAAUGGACGAAAGUCUGAGGCAGCAACUCCGCGUGAGGGACGAAGGCCUUCGGGUCGUAAACCUCCUUUCUCAGGGAAGAUACAAGACGGUACCUGAGGAAUAAGCCACGGCUAACUACGUGCCAGCAGCCGCGGUAAUACGUAGGUGGCGAGCGUUGUCCGGAUUUACUGGGCGUAAAGAGCGCGCAGGCGGCUGGUCAAGUCCGAUGUGAAAGCUCCCGGCUUAACUGGGAAAUUGCAUCGGAAACUGAUCGGCUGGAAGGUGGGAGAGGGUAGCGGAAUUCCCGGUGUAGUGGUGAAAUGCGUAGAUAUCGGGAGGAACACCAGUGGCGAAAGCGGCUACCUGGCCCAUUCUUGACGCUGAGGCGCGAAAGCUAGGGGAGCAAACGGGAUUAGAUACCCCGGUAGUCCUANCCGUAAACNAUGAACACUAGGCGUAGUCNGUAUCGACCCCGGCUGUGCCGUAACUAACGCAUUAAGUGUUCCCC
rnacentral:rRNA from 1 species